UGCUUAUUGGUAUUAUAAUAGUAAGUAAAUUCUGCCCAGUGAAAUUUUCAACGGCCGCGGUAUCUUGACCGUGCAAAGGUAGCAUAAUCACUUGCCUUUUAAUUGAAGGCUAGAAUGAAUGAAUAAACAAAGAGAGUCUUUAUUUCAUGCCCCCAUAAAAUUUAUUCUUCAGGUGAAGAAACCUGAAUUUUCUAAAAAGACAAAAAGACCCUAUCAAGCUUUAUAUUUCUUAUAUCCAUUACUAACAAAUAUUUGGUUGGGGCGACUAAUGAGAAUUUACCAUCUCUCAUUAUAUAAAAAGAUCCAUUUAUCUUAUUUAUUAAUAAUUUAAUAUAACAAAGCUACUGUAGGGAUAACAGGCUUAUAUUUUCUAAGAGUUCAAAUUAAAGAAAAUGAUUGGCACCUCGAUGUUGGCUUAGGGCACCUCUAUCUUGCAGAAGAGAUAAAAGGRAGUUUGUKCAACUUUUAAAACCCU
rnacentral:rRNA from 1 species